UACAGAGGGGGCAAGCGUUAUUCGGAAUUAUUGGGCGUAAAGGGCGCGUAGGCGGCCUGGCAAGUGGAAGGUGAAAUCCCUCGGCUUAACCGAGGAACUGCCCUCCAAACUGCUUUGCUUGAGACCGGGAGAGGUGAGUGGAAUUCCCAGUGUAGCGGUGAAAUGCGUAGAUAUUGGGAGGAACACCAGUGGCGAAGGCGGCUCACUGGACCGGUACUGACGCUGAUGCGCGAAAGCGUGGGGAGCAAACGGG
rnacentral:rRNA from 1 species